rnacentral:rRNA from 1 species
AUUGAACGCUGGCGGCAUGCCUUACACAUGCAAGUCGAACGGCAGCACGGGAGCAAUCCUGGUGGCGAGUGGCGAACGGGUGAGUAAUAUAUCGGAACGUGCCCAGUCGUGGGGGAUAACGCAGCGGAAGCUGUGCUAAUACCGCAUACGAUCUACGGAUGAAAGCGGGGGAUCGCAAGACCUCGCGCGAUUGGAGCGGCCGAUAUCAGAUUAGCUAGUUGGUGGGGUAAAAGCCCACCAAGGCGACGAUCUGUAGCUGGUCUGAGAGGACGACAAGCCACACUGGAACUGAGACACGGUCCAGACUCCUACGGGAGGCAGCAGUGGGGAAUUUUGGACAAUGGGCGCAAGCCUGAUCCAGCAAUGCCGCGUGCAGGAUGAAGGCCUUCGGGUUGUAAACUGCUUUUGUACGGAACGAAACGGCUCUUUCUAAUAGAGCGGGCUAAUGACGGUACCGUAAGAAUAAGCACCGGCUAACUACGUGCCAGCAGCCGCCGUAACAC